rnacentral:lncRNA from 1 species
CUACGGUAAGCUGUGGCUGUACAUUGACAUGUCAUACAAAAACUAUCAACAUGUGGGUCUGCCACAGUAAUUGUCAUUUACAUGAAAAGACAAAAAGUUUGUUUAUGCACCCACCUAUAUGAUGUUAGUAUAGGCAAGCAAAAUCCACCUCUACACGUUAUACCACGUGAUGAAGUUGAUAGAGCGAAUCAAAAUCUAGAAGUUGCGUAGCGGCCAUCUGCGACAGAAAUAUAAGAGUAGUCAGAAGGCGUAAUAAAGGAGAGGAUAAUCAUUUUAUUUAUCUGAUUGCGCUGAAUAGAUAGAGUAAAUUUCACUGUAAGUUAGACCUGGCUAUUUAUUAGCAGUAAUACGACAAUCAAUUCACAAGAUUUGUCAUUUCCCUGUAAAUAUUUGAAUAAUUGUUAGAUCUCAGGUAAAGGGAAAAUAGAGUAUGGUAGCAAACAAAAUAUCUAAAGUAUUAUUACCUUCAAUUCUUUUUUUCCUGGUGUGGAUGGUUCAAUUUUCUGCUUCUUACCUGUCUCUUUUGGACGCGGUGGUAAUGGUGAUGGUGCCAGAAUUAGCGUUUCUGCUUCAGUGAAUGAUGCAACAGCCAGCAUACCAGGUUUUUGGUCGAAAAAAUUGAAGACCGACUUUUGUAACUGGAGCUUAAAUAGUUUAUGAGCAAGCUGGCGAUUUACAGCGGCAAUAGAUAACGGUCGUUG